AGCAACUGUAAAGUGAAAUAAUGAAAAUCAUAUUGUUUGUUUUAGAUUGCAGUGUCAACGUGAAGAAUUCUGGAAUGCUAUGAAAAUGCCUUCCCUACUAAUUCUCGAGAAUAAUUAAUGCUAGUAAGUAUAGGGGAAGAAUGAAAUAAGUAAGCGCUCUUGAUUUUAUUCCUUAAAAAUGGCAUUUAAAGCAGAAGUGGUGCUCGACGGCAGUUUAAUCGGUUUACAAUCAGCCAGCAAUUGAAAGAAUGGGCAAAAAGAAGGAAAGAAGGGUGACCACGUACAACAAUGCAAAAGUAUAAAAAACUAUGGCCAUUUGUUGACGAAAACGACGAGAACAUUUCCAAGCUAUGUAGCGUCUAGUAGAACGUCCGUAAAAUUUCGGACGAAAUUUAAAACGAUCGUAUUUCUUAAUUAACGAUCGUACUACGGG
rnacentral:misc_RNA from 1 species